ACGGAGGGUGCGAGCGUUGUCCGGAAUCAUUGGGCGUAAAGGGCGCGUAGGUGGCUUCUCAAGCGUGCGGUGAAAGCCCGGGGCUCAACUCCGGAAUUGCCUUUAAGACUGCAUCGCUAGAAUUGUGGAGAGGUAAGUGGAAUUCCGAGUGUAGAGGUGAAAUUCGUAGAUAUUCGGAAGAACACCAGUGGCGAAGGCGACUUACUGGACACAUAUUGACGCUGAGGUGCGAAAGCGUGGGGAGCAAACAGGA
rnacentral:rRNA from 1 species